GGUGCUGGGCAUGGGGGGAAACGGAAAGCCUCCCCGGAAGCUGAUGCAGGCAGGCUUGCAGCGAAGUGCAGCCUUGCAGGAAGCCAGAGGAGGAGCACGGAGUGUGGCACAGCACCCAAGAGAGGGAGAGGUGCUGAGCCGAAUGGCAAAAUCUUGGUGAAAGCUCCUCUCCAGGCUGGAGGGCUUCCUGGAACAGCAGCUCCCAGCACGGGGGGAAGAGCUUCCCCUGCAGUUGACAGCCGCCCCUUCCCCAAGACCGUGGCCGCAAGAAAGCGCAAGGGAGUGGAAGAGGAGGAGCAAAAAGCAGAGC